AACCCAUGUUGAGGACAUAUCCAUAUGAGCUCCUUAAACCUCUCCCAUGUCUCAAAUAGAAACUCCAAUUCCGUUUGUAUGAAGGAGGAUAUUUCAUUCAUAAGCUU